rnacentral:rRNA from 1 species
UACCAGACUCCUACGGGAGGCAGCAGUGGGGAAUAUUGCACAAUGGGGGAAACCCUGAUGCAGCAACGCCGCGUGAGUGAAGAAGUCAUUCGUGAUGUAAAGCUCUAUCAGCAGGGAAGAAAAUGACGGUACCCGACUAAGAAGCCCCGGCUAACUACGUGCCAGCAGCCGCGGUAAUACGUAGGGGGCGAGCGUUAUCCGGAUUUACUGGGUGUAAAGGGAGCGUAGACGGCGUCGCAAGUCUGAAGUGAAAGCCCGUGGCUCAACCGCGGAACCGCUUUGGAAACUGCGAGGCUGGAGUGCUGGAGAGGUGAGCGGAAUUCCUGGUGUAGCGGUGAAAUGCGUAGAUAUCAGGAGGAACACCGGUGGCGAAGGCGGCUUACUGGACAGUGACUGACGUUGAGGCUCGAAAGCGUGGGGAGCGAACAGGAUUAGAUACCCUUGUACGA